rnacentral:rRNA from 1 species
UACGGAGGGGGCUAGCGUUGUUCGGAAUUACUGGGCGUAAAGCGCACGUAGGCGGACCGGACAGUCAGAGGUGAAAUCCCCAGGGCUCAACCUUGGAACUGCCUUUGAAACUAUCGGUCUGGAGUUCGAGAGAGGUGAGUGGAAUUCCGAGUGUAGAGGUGAAAUUCGUAGAUAUUCGGAGGAACACCAGUGGCGAAGGCGGCUCACUGGCUCGAUACUGACGCUGAGGUGCGAAAGCGUGGGGAGCAAACAGG